AAUUGGCCAAUAGAAUACUGACAC
rnacentral:miRNA from 1 species